GACGAACGCUGGCGGCGUGCUUAACACAUGCAAGUCGAACGGAAAGGCCCCUUUGGGGGUACUCGAGUGGCGAACGGGUGAGUAACACGUGAGUAACCUGCCCUUGACUUCGGGAUAACUUCAGGAAACUGGGGCUAAUACCGGAUAGGAAUCCUUGCUGCAUGGUGGGGGUUGGAAAGCUUCGGCGGUUUUGGAUGGACUCGCGGCUUAUCAGCUUGUUGGUGGGGUAGUGGCUUACCAAGGCUUUGACGGGUAGCCGGCCUGAGAGGGCGACCGGCCACAUUGGGACUGAGAGACGGCCCAGACUCCUACGGGAGGCAGCAGUGGGGAAUAUUGCACAAUGGGCGGAGGCCUGAUGCAGCAACGCCGCGUGCGGGAUGACGGCCUUCGGGUUGUAAACCGCUUUCAGCAGGGGCGAAGCUUGUGGUGACGGUACCUGCAGAAGAAGCACCGGCUAACUACGUG
rnacentral:rRNA from 1 species